AUGGGGUGGGGGCUUCGGAAAGAACCUCCGUACGGGACCCCAAGGCAAAGCUCUGCCCCGCAGCCCGGCCUCAGCCCCACGGGACCGCCCCUCCCCGGCCCCGCAAGAGGAGGGGAAGCGGAGGAGGAAGAGGAAGAGGAAGAGCCGCGGUCCCGCCGCGCUGCAGUGGGUGCGGGCGCGGGGCGCGGGGUGAUUCAUACCCCACCGCAUCACCGGGGCGGGGGAGACGGCGCAGCUGUGGGGCCGAGCAGAAGAAAGGGGAAGCAAAACCUCCCCCGGCCGCUCACCCGGGGCAUCCCCCCCCCCAACCUGGGGCUUUCCGUGGGGCCGCGGGCUGCUCUGCUGGCAUCGGCACGGCGAGCGUUACUGCGGCACCGCGCACCCCACCGAGCGCAUCCAACCCUGUGCGCCCCGCACCGCGCCCUGCGCGCCACGCAGCUGCCGCCGCUGCCCCACUUUUCCUGCGGUCCCUUCCAGCUCAGAGCUGGGGACACCAAACCGGACGCGGGGACCCAACGCACGACCUCGGGUGGCACCGAUGAGACGCGCUGCGGGGGUCCCGUAGGCGGUGCGCACCGGGCGGGGCUCCGUCCCCGCCGUCCCCGGGCCGGGGGAACACCUCGCUGCGCACCCACCGGCCGCGCUGAGCCGGGCGAUUUGGGUUUUCCUGCCGUGGGGCUGCGGGUCCGACCGGACCCCGUGCAUCACCUCGGCAGCUCCGGGGCAUUUGCACUAACAACCCCACUGGCACACUCAGCCCCACAUUGGCACACUCAGCCCCAUUGGCACACUCAACCCCACAUUGGCACACUCAGCCCCAACCAUGCACCGGGGGCACUUUGGAGAUGCAGGCAGGCAGUAGGACCUCACAUAGCCCACAUAGUGCACCAACCCUCCCUAUGUGAGAGGACGAGGAUGGAAGACCUCCAGCAGAGCAAGAUGGGGCUCCAGGACAGCAGCAACGCCCUCAGCCUCAACUCCCCCAAUCUGAGCUAUGGGUACAACUGAGUGCGGACCCCCCAUUCCCCAACAUCCCGGCGCCACACGGGGAGCACCGCGGAUGGCUUCUGCCGUGGGACAGAUGGACGCCCUUCUCCUGGCUCUGCUGCCCGCUCCCCCCAUCAGACCCCGCCCUCACAGCCCACCCCGCGCCCCCCGCGCUCACCCCGGCCCAUGGUGGGGUGCACAGUGGGGGGGUCCUCCGCUCCGCUCCGCGCCGCUCCGAGCCGUUCGGUCCCUCCCGACCCCGACCGUUCCUCCCGCCGAGCCCGGCCCGCCCCCGCCGCUUCCUUCCUGCCUCGGCCCGGAGUGGGGGGGUGUCAUAGGGCGGGGGGGGGGCGUGGGGAAGUGGAGGGUUUGGGGAGGGGAGGGGGAGCGUGGGAACGCGGGGGGGAAUUUCCUCUGUUGGGGCUACAAUCGUCCCCUCGAGGCGUCGCCCCCCAAACCCCACUGAGCCCCCACUCAGACACCCAUAGGAGGGAUGGGCGUCCUCCUGCCCCACAGUGCUGCCCUAUGGGGGCUGCUCCCCGUUCCUGUGCCCAUUCCGGUCUCUGUCCCCCCCUCAUCCCCACCCCAAUUCCCGUCCUUUUCCCCUUCCCAAUCACCAUCCCAGUUCCUCUCCCAUCCUAUCUUCAUCUCUGUUCCCAUCUCCAUUUCCAGGACCAUCUCACCCCCAUACUCAAACCCAAACUCUCGUCCCCAUUCCCAUCCCAUCUCAAUCCUCAUCUUAUUUCAUCCCAGUCCUUUCUCCAUCCUCAUCUCAUCCCAUCCCAUCCCAUCCCAUCCCAUCCCAUCCCAUCCCAUCCCAUCCCCUUCCCCAUCCUAUCUCCAUUACCAUUCUCCAUUACCAUUUCUUUACUCAGAGAGUGGUGAGGUGCUGGAACAGCUGCCCAGAGAGGCUGUGGAUGCCCCGUCCGUCCCUGGAGGUGUUCAAGGCCAGAUUGGAUGGGGCCCUGGGCAGCCUGGGCUGCUGUGAAAUGUGGAGGUUGGUGGCCCUGCCUGUGGUGGG
rnacentral:lncRNA from 1 species